rnacentral:rRNA from 1 species
UACGUAGGUGGCAAGCGUUGUUCGGAGUUACUGGGCGUAAAAAGUCUGUAGGUGGUCUGUCAAGUCUUUGGUGAAAGGCCGUGGCUUAACCAUGGGAAUGCCAAAGAGACUGGCAGACUGGAGGCUGGGAGAGGGAAGCGGAAUUUCUGGUGUAGCGGUGAAAUGCGUAGAUAUCAGAAGGAAGGCCGGUGGCGAAGGCGGCUUCCUAGAACAGACCUGACACUGAGAGACGAAAGCGUGGGGAGCAAACAGG